rnacentral:rRNA from 1 species
GACGAACGCUGGCGGCGUGCCUAAUACAUGCAAGUGGGACGCAAGGAAACACACUGUGCUUGCACACCGUGUUUUCUUGAGUCGCGAACGGGUGAGUAACGCGUAGGUAACCUGCCUAUUAGCGGGGGAUAACUAUUGGAAACGAUAGCUAAUACCGCAUAAUAUUAAUUAUUGCAUGAUAAUUGAUUGAAAGAUGCAAGCGCAUCACUAGUAGAUGGACCUGCGUUGUAUUAGCUAGUUGGUAAGGUAAGAGCUUACCAAGGCAACGAUACAUAGCCGACCUGAGAGGGUGAUCGGCCACACUGGGACUGAGACACGGCCCAGACUCCUACGGGAGGCAGCAGUAGGGAAUCUUCGGCAAUGGACGAAAGUCUGACCGAGCAACGCCGCGUGAGUGAAGAAGGUUUUCGGAUCGUAAAGCUCUGUUGUAAGUCAAGAACGUGUGUGAGAGUGGAAAGUUCACACAGUGACGGUAGCUUACCAGAAAGGGACGGCUAACUACGU